ensembl:lncRNA
GUCCCGUUUUAUUUAGUUAAAAUAUUCUAAUACUCUGAUUUUAUAAUUCUUUGUAUGUUGAUUAUACCUGUAAAUUCUAUAAAUAUGUAUUAAAAAUAUAUUUGUUUAAAAAAAAUUAUAAUGAAUAAAUUGUAAAUGUAGCUAUAUUAAUUUGUAAACUAAACAUUAUAGAUUAAAAUGAUUUGCAUUAAAUAUAUUGUUAAUGUCUUGCUUUGACUGUUUUUAUUUACCAUGUAAAGUUUCCUGUAAAGUUAAUUUCCAUGUAAACCGGAGGCUGCCCCCCCCCCUUCUCCCCCCUCUGUUUCCACGGCAACCCUGUCUGGGUGGAGGAGAGGAGCGAAUCAUGCGAGGCUCGAGCAUCUCUCUCUCUCUCUCUCUCUCUCUCUCUCUCUGCAGACUGACCGAGGCUGUGUUGGAAGGAGCUCGUGCAUCACAUCAGUCCUGUCCUUUACUCAUUCGUCCUUCUCCAAAGCAGGCACGGAGAGCUGCGUUCAUGCCAAAAUGGGAUGUGGAAAUUCCUCCGCCACCAGCACGACAGCAGGAGGUCCAGCAGAAGCUGCCAAGGAUGUGUGAGUAAUUUAAUUUAUGACAUAUCCAAACAUACCAUAUUCAGAAUGUGAGCCACAGAAUGAAUGUGAUGACUGUAACGUCCCCCACUGACCCGAGAGAAAUUAAUAACAGCAUUGAGCACCAAAUUGGUACAUAACUGCUCACCACAGUGUAAAUCCACCAAAAUAAACACACAGACUGAAUCCUGGGGGGGUUCAAUCAGCCUGUUCCAGCUAACCAUUCAGCAGCUUUUGUGGCGCACAUGGGCCCCUGAGGGUCCAAACACAUGCUAACCAAUCAGCAAUCGCUACCCAUCCCCCCGCAAUGCCUGACACCUCACAGUUUACUGUCAAAGACACCAGACGGCAUCCGUCCCAUCGGUGGAAAAACGCCCGAGUGUGUUUAGACAGCAGAUUUCUGUUAUGACAUCAGCAUGUGACUCCUGUUUGACACGGUUUUAACAUUUAACAUCUAUAAAAAGAUACAGAGGAGUUGAAUAAAUGCUCGCCGUCUGAAAUAUUUAACAGUUUUCCACUCUCGGAUCAAGUUGUGAUAAACAUUUAGCUCAAGACUGCAUUCCGAAAAUUAAUAUCCCAUUCCAAAUCUCCACUGCAAAAUUGGAAAUGGAAUGAAAAUGAAAAACAGCUCGAUCAACUGAACUGUUGUUUUAAUUGUUCAGCCAACAAAACAUUGGCAAUUUUAAGAUGUGUUUUCAGUUGACAAAAAUAUGAAUAUGAAAAUUAAAUAUGAAAUGUAUUCGUAUAUUUUAGCUUUUAAUAUAUAAAAUAAAUAAUUAUAUAAUUUGCUAUAAAAAAAUAAUAUUAUAUAAUUUUUUAUUUUAAUAGAUAAUAAUAAUACUAUUAAUAUAUAUAUUGCUCCAGAUUCGUGCGACCUCUGACAUAUAUAGCAAUUAUAAGUCGCUUUGGAUAAAAAGCAUCAGCUAAAUGAAUAAUGUAAUAAACACACAUUUUUAUAUGAAUUUCAAAAUAAUUUUAGCUUUUAGAGUGAAUUCCUAGUUAAAAUCCCAUCCAAAAUCUAUACUGCAAAAUCAGAAAUGGCAUUUUUUCUUUAUGCAAAAAUGAAUUAGUGAUGGAUAUAAAUAAUGCAUGAUCAGUUAGUUAUACUGUUGUUUUCAUUUUUAAGCUAACAAAAUAUUAGUCAUUUUAAGGAAAUAUGCAUUGUGGACAUUAAUGUAAACAUUAAAUAUGAACUGAAACAGACUGUACUUCUAUCCCAUGAAAUAAAAUAUUGACUAGGGUUCAUCAACACAACACGCUCUUUCUGAAAUUAAAAUGUAGUAUGAAGUGUUUCGAUGCCAGUCAGUCUUGUGUAACAGAUUAUUUGAGCAAAGAGGACACUGAUGGAGUACAGUACAAAAAAGUAGAGGAGUGAGCUUGAAUUGCUGUAAGACAGAAGUGUCAGCCACAGAGACUGUCUUCAUCUUUAUUCUCUUGAUGCAGGACAGAAGAACCAUCACCAGAUGAUGAGAAGCGAAGGUUAGACGUUCUACUUCAAUCAUGCCAAUCCAUGCCAAUCCAUGCAAGGCCUCUGCUAAACAUCAUGAGACUGAAUCGGGACAAUAAUAAUGAAUGUGUAACUGUGUGUUCUGCAGGAACUAUGGAGGAGUGUAUGUGGGUCUUCCUGCUGAUCUGACCACAGUAGCUGCCAGCCAAUCAAAGUCCACACGUAAAGGUGAGGAGCGCAUUCACAGAACAACACAGGUUUGAAACAGUUAAAAGCAAAAAAACAGUAACAACAGUAUAUUUUGCUCUUUUUUGUCUAGAUCAAAUAACAGCCACAAGUUUCUUAUAAAAAAGCAAAGAAGUUGCUUGUUUUCCAGCUGUUUUAUAUUCACACAAAUCAAUAGAUUGAAAUUACCCACAAUUCAUUUUGUGAUUCCAGAAGUUUAUUCGUUCUUCAAUUAAUACACAUUUCUAUAUACACAUUUAAAAAAAAGAAGAUAUUAUAUAUAUUUCAGUUUACAAAUCGUACAUUCUUAUGUGUAACUUAAUUUGUGUUCUAUUAUAUAUAUAUAUAUAAAUCAGUCAAUAUGUUAAAUAUAUUAAUAUAUUUUUUGAAAUGUAAC